UCGAGCGAAACAUUUAAGACAGAAUCUCUUCGGGUUGAGUCUUAUCUGACUGAGCGGCGGACGGGUGAGUAACGCGUGGGUAACCUGCCUCAUACAGGGGGAUAACAGUUAGAAAUGACUGCUAAUACCGCAUAAGCGCACAGGGCUGCAUGGCCCGGUGUGAAAAACUCCGGUGGUAUGAGAUGGACCCGCGUCUGAUUAGCUGGUUGGAGGGGUAACGGCCCACCAAGGCGACGAUCAGUAGCCGGCCUGAGAGGGUGAACGGCCACAUUGGGACUGAGACACGGCCCAGACUCCUACGGGAGGCAGCAGUGGGGAAUAUUGCACAAUGGGGGAAACCCUGAUGCAGCGACGCCGCGUGAAGGAAGAAGUAUCUCGGUAUGUAAACUUCUAUCAGCAGGGAAGAAAAUGACGGUACCUGACUAAGAAGCCCCGGCUAACUACGUGCCAGCAGCCGCGGUAAUACGUAGGGGGCAAGCGUUAUCCGGAUUUACUGGGUGUAAAGGGAGCGUAGACGGAAGAGCAAGUCUGAUGUGAAAGGCUGGGGCUUAACCCCAGGACUGCAUUGGAAACUGUUUUUCUAGAGUGCCGGAGAGGUAAGCGGAAUUCCUAGUGUAGCGGUGAAAUGCGUAGAUAUUAGGAGGAACACCAGUGGCGAAGGCGGCUUACUGGA
rnacentral:rRNA from 1 species